rnacentral:lncRNA from 1 species
UAGCCCUCAAAGAUUAUAGAUUUUUUUUUUUUUUUGAGAGAUAGAUAAUACGCUAUCUGUUUCGUUUAUUCCAUUUAAAAAUAAACUUAACUGUAAAUAUAAAUCAAUUAAAAUUCAAACUUGAGAUCCCGAAUAUCAAUCAUCAAGUCCUUCACAAAUUGCUGUAGGUAACAGUUCGAUAAGAUUGUAGAAUGUUAGAAUGUAAGGUUUAUAGU